rnacentral:rRNA from 1 species
UACGUAGGGUGCAAGCGUUGUCCGGAAUGAUUGGGCGUAAAGCGUCCGCAGGUGGCUAUGUAAGUCUGCUGUUAAAGAGUGAGGCUCAACCUCAUAAAAGCAGUGGAAACUACAUGGCUAGAGUGCGUUCGGGGCAGAGGGAAUUCCUGGUGUAGCGGUGAAAUGCGUAGAGAUCAGGAAGAACACCGGUGGCGAAAGCGCUCUGCUAGGCCGCAACUGACACUGAGGGACGAAAGCUAGGGGAGCGAAUGGG